GACAAUGGAUAGCUCAGCGGUAGAGCAUCAGAUUCAGGAUCUGACUGUUGCGGGUUCGAUUCCCGCUCCCGGUCG
rnacentral:tRNA from 1 species